GACGAACGCUGGCGGCGUGCUUAACACAUGCAAGUCGAACGGUAAGGCCCUUCGGGGUACACGAGUGGCGAACGGGUGAGUAACACGUGGGUGAUCUGCCCUGCACUUCGGGAUAAGUCUGGGAAACUGGUUCUAAUAUCGGUGAGGACCACUGCCUGCAUGGGUGGUGGUGGAAACCUUUUGCGUUGUGGGAUGGGCCCGCGGCCUAUCGGGUUGUUGGUGGGGUGAGGGCCUACCAAGGCGACGACGGGUAGCCGGCCUGAGAGGGUGACCGGCCACACUGGGACUGAGAUACGGCCCAGACUCCUACGGGAGGCAGCAGUGGGGAAUACUGCACAAUGGGCGCAAGCCUGAUGCAGCGACGCCGCGUGAGGGAUGACGGCCUUCGGGUUGUAAACCUCUUUCAGCACCGACGAAGCGCAAGUGACGGUAGGUGCAGAAGAAGGACCGGCCAACUACGUGCCAGCCGCCGCCGUAA
rnacentral:rRNA from 1 species